rnacentral:lncRNA from 1 species
UCUUGAACUCCCGACCGCCCGCCUUGGCCUCCCAAAGUGUUGGGAUUACAGGCGUAAGCCACCGCGCCUGGCUGGGACUAAUAUUCUAUGAAGGCUGCCAGCCUGGGGCUAAGCACCUAGCUUUUCCAAAUGUUGACAUGUUUUCUCUAUAGCCCUACCUGAUGGACUGGACUUCUGCCUGGAUUGGAGUUUGAUCAUGCCUCCAUAUGGGUGUUUACCAGGCGUAUGCAUUGAACCUGAGUUUGUCUCUUCAAUACAAGUGGCCAUGUGAGCAGGCAGGGAGAUGGUGGCUGCCUAGAAGCCAAGAGAAGUGGCCUCAAGAUGAAAUCUACCUUGCUGGUACUUUGAUCUUGGACUUGCAGCCUCCAGAACUGUGAGGCUUGUCCAUUUUAAUGAGAAGCUUAUGUGGCAUGGAACUGAGUUCACCCCCAACCAGCAGCUGGUGAGGAAUGGAGCUCUUCGUUCAAUGACUCAUAAUGAGCUUUGAGACAACCAAAGCCCCCUAGCUAACCUGUGCCUGGAUUCCUGGCCCACAAAGACAGUGAGAGAGGGACCCAACUCAGCCCAUGAAGCCACUGAAAUACAGGAAAGAGCAUCUUCAUUGAAGCCACUGGAGCAUGGGAAAGAGCACCACCAGCUCCCUGCUCGCUAGCUGUGAACCUCAGGAUGGAAUAGAAGAUGGAUAAAAAGCUUCUACUGCAGCCUGGGCCCAGUUCACUUUCUCUCUUGGCUCCAAUCCUGGUGGACACAGUAGGGGCUCCUCAAAAGCUCCACCCAUCACCUCCUUGAAUCACUGCAUCAUCUACUUCACACUGGGGCACAGACAAUUGGAUGGCUUCUUUGAUCUCUGUCUAGCACUUGAUCGUAAGUAUUGGAUUUGAAAACCUAACUUUAAAUAAUGUGAGGAAGAGGAUCCAAGGUAUGUUUUAUUUCAACAUAUUAAAAAUGGAUAUCAGAUAUAAAAAUACUGGUUAAGUUAUAUAAGUAGAAUUGUUUCCAGACCAUAUUGUGUAUUAAUUAUAUCCUAGUUCAUAGCCAUAAAACAAUAUUUUAUUAUACUACAUUUCCGGUGGUCACUGAGCAUCCAUGAGUAUAGUAAGUGGAAAAAUGGUAAAAUCUGCAAAAUGGUUCUAUAUUAGAUUUUAUUAAAUAAGAGAAGCAACAACUUAAAUCAGACUCAAAAAAUCAAAAUAAUUUGGCUCCUUUAAAAAGCAAAGAAAGAUCAACAAAAAACUAACAUUUGGCCGAGGUAGCUUGCUCCCUUGUGGAUUCAGAGCUGAAAGUUACUGAAGACAUAUCAGUACAAAUGUGCACAUUAGAUAAUUCC